rnacentral:rRNA from 1 species
GGGAAAACUUGUGCUAAUACCGCAUAAUGUCGAGAGACCAAAGCAGGGGACCGCAAGGCCUUGCGCGAUAGGAUGAGCCGACGUCCGAUUAGCUAGUUGGUAGGGUAAAGGCCUACCAAGGCGACGAUCGGUAGCUGGUCUGAGAGGAUGAUCAGCCACACUGGGACUGAGACACGGCCCAGAUUCCUACGGGAGGCAGCAGUGGGGAAUAUUGGACAAUGGGCGCAAGCCUGAUCCAGCAAUGCCGCGUGUGUGAAGAAGGCCUGCGGGUUGUNAAAGCACUUUUGUUUCGGGAAGAAAUCAUGCCGACUAAUACUUGGUAUGGAUGACGGUACCGGAAGGAUAAGCACCGGCUAACCUUCGUNGCCAGCAGCCGCGGUAAUAC